rnacentral:rRNA from 1 species
GACGAACGCUGGCGGUGUGCUUAACACAUGCAAGUGGUGCGACGAACCAGAGCUUGCUCUGGGGCAAAGCCGCGAACGGGUGAGUAACACGUGGGUAAUCUACCCCGAUGACCGGGACAACCCGAGGAAACUCGGGCUAAUACCGGAUGUGGUGCGGAGACAUAAGUCUCUUCACUAAAGGUAGCUUCGGCUUCCGCAUUGGGAGGGGCCCGCGGCCCAUUAGCUUGUUGGUGGGGUCAAGGCCUACCAAGGCAACGAUGGGUAGCUGGUCUGAGAGGACGAUCAGCCACACUGGGACUGAGACACGGCCCAGACUCCUACGGGAGGCAGCAGUGGGGAAUCUUGCGCAAUGCGCGAAAGCGUGACGCAGCAAUACCGCGUGAGGGAAGAAGGCCUUAGGGUUGUAAACCUCUUUCAGAUGGGACGAAGGUUCUCCGGUGAAUAGCCGAGAGGAUUGACGGUACCGUCAGAAGAAGCUCCGGCUAACUACGUG